AGAAUUGUCAUUAUUGGGUGAACUAUCCCUUUAACUGGCAUUAACUGGAAAAAAUAUCUGAACACUUGUAUUUAUGUACAGCAUGCAAUUAAGUAUUUAUGUUUUAGUUUGGAUAAAUCAAACUAACAAAUUCACUGAUUGUAUUAACAGAUUUGCACUUCAGUAACUUCACAUGGAUUUACUACAGGUUCAGUUUUUAUUACAUUUCAUCUGAUCAUAAAAACUGGAGGGACAGCAGACGAGACUGUGAAGAGAAAAGAGCAGAUCUGCUGAUUAUUAAUAACCAGGAGGAAGAAUUGUUUUUGCGUAUGCAUGCUGGUCUUGGCAGUUGGAUUGGUCUGACAAACGAACAGGGAGUGUGGAAAUGGGUUGAUGGCACCACACUGACAUCUGGCUACUGGCUAGAUGGAUAUCCCCGAAAUUCUGGUUGUGCACUCAUGACUGAAUCUGGGUGGGCUGAUCAUAUGUGUUCAGUAAAGUAUAAAUGGAUAUGUGAAAGAAGAAUUGUUUAAAUCUGUCAUGAUAUGAUGAUGUUUAUUUAAAGAAACCAUUUACUCUUACGAAAAAGAAGUUUAUUCAAGUGUGCUAUAAGUAUACUUCUUUUAAACUUAAAAUAAGAAAGUAUACUUUCAGUUAACUUUUUAUGUACUUCUCUAAAAUGUACUUUAGGUACUUCUCAGAAAUAUACUUAAAUUGUACUAAAGUAUACUUGACCUAUACUGACCGAAAUGUCUAAGUAUAUUUGGCCUA